rnacentral:rRNA from 1 species
CCCUUAGAUGUUCUGGGCCGCACGCGCGCUACACUGAUGCAUUCAACGAGUCCAACCUUGACCGAGAGGUCCGGGUAAUCUUUGAAACUGCAUCGUGAUGGGGCUAGAUUAUUGCAAUUAUUAAUCUUCAACGAGGAAUGCCUAGUAAGCGUGAUUCAUCAAAUCGCGUUGAUUACGUCCCUGCCCUUUGUACACACCGCCCGUCGCUCCUACCGAUUGAGUGUGUUGGUGAGGAGUUUGGAUUGGCCUCGGAAGGUGGUUCGCCACCGUCCGUAGCCGAGAAGUUCUCCAAACCGCCCCACUUAGAGGAAGGAGAAGUCGUAACA